rnacentral:rRNA from 1 species
GUGGCGGCGAAUGUUUGGUCAAGCUACUAAGGGCGUACGGUGGAUGCCUAGGCGCUAAGAGUC